CGUUUCCUCCCACAACAGGGACUUUGCAGCAGUGAGAAAGGUACACAAAUAAAAAUUAAUUUGUGUAACUGUCUCACUGCUGCAAAGUCCCUGUUGUGGGA